GUUGAAUAGUUUUUUUUUCUGACCGGUACCGGUCCGUGAGUCGUUUGGUACCGGGCCACGAGAGUUGAGGCUCAGUUGUGAAAUGUCUGGUUUUCAGGGUUUUUAUCGGUUUUCAGCGUUAUUUUGUUAUCGUUUUUAUCGUUAACUCGGUUUUCCUGGGUCUUUCCACAUGUGUUAUGAAUAAAUCUUCUUUUUUUUCGGUACUGGUACUAGUUUUGUUUUGUUGUAUUUAUGACGAAAUGACAGUGCUAAACUGUCAUCACUAAAAGUCUAUAUUUUUUUGACUCGAAUAAGUAAGUAAAAUUCGAUCUCCAGUGACAUUAUUGCACUUUACUUGUGCUGCACCAAUAAAAUAUAAUAUGGUAAGGAUUUAUUAUUUUAUUCAACUAUUCCUACACUAUCAAUGGGCUACUUUUGUAGUAAGAUGAAUUUACAGAGUGUAAGUGGAAAGUGUUUGAUUGUCAGACUUUUGAUUUUAUCAGAAUCAGAAUCAGAAUACUUUAUUGAUCCCUGGGGGAAAUUAUUUAUUUGUGAGCAUUUAAGCGACCACUUAAUUUUAAUGAAGACUCAACAUCAUCAUUUUCUUUUUCUUUUUUUCUUUUUCUUUAUCUAGCUCAGGGUCAUGUUGGUGCUGGAUCGUAGCCCAGCUGUCACUGGGCCAAAGGUAGGUAGGUCGGCAGUCUGUUGCUGGGCUAAUUUUUAUUUCUCUUCUUUUUUUAUACAUUUUUUUAAAUUUAUAAUUUUAUUUUAAUUUAGUUUUUUGCUUUUUGCCAAAUCUUUUAAUUGUUCACACACUCACAGACAUAAAAAGAUGUGACAUACUUACAUACCGCACAACACACACAGCAGAAGAACAGUGUGGUCACGGGAAGGAAGAAGCAGAUAUUGAUCCAUAUCAGGACUCCCAACAUCUCUGUCUGACUUUCUGUGUGGUGGAGUUGCUGUAGAUGAAUUUUCUACUCUCUUUUCACCUGAAAAAAAAAACAAAACAAUGUGAAACAGCAGGUGGUGAAAAUGAUUCACUGGUUUGCUCUAAAUGCUGGAAAAACACUGAGUUCCUCCAAAUGACCCUCCUCAAACUCGUGCUUUUUUCUGUUUGACCUAACAUACAUGUGUGGGAAAAGUCAUGCUGAAUAUCUAAACGUAUAUAGACUUGGUACAGUGUUGCC
ensembl:lncRNA